rnacentral:rRNA from 1 species
CAUCUUUUUGUUUUUAAAAGACCUUCUUACGAAGGUAUGCUUAAAGAGGGGCUUGCGCCACAUUAGUUAGUUGGUAGAGUAAAAGCCUACCAAGACGAUGAUUUGUAGCUGGACUGAGAGGUUGAACAGCCCCAUUGGGACUGAGCCACGGCCCAAACUCCUACGGGAGGCAGCAGUAGGGAAUUUUUCGGCAAUGGAGGAAACUCUGACCGAGCAACGCCGCGUGAACGAUGAAGUAUUUCGGUAUGUAAAGUUCUUUUAUUGAAGAAGAAAAAGUAGUGGAAAAACUAUAUUGACGUUAUUCAAUGAAUAAGCCCCGGCUAACUAUGUGCCAGCAGCCGCGGUAAGACAUAGGGGGCGAGCGUUAUCCGGAAUUAUUGGGCGUAAAGGGUGCGUAGGCUGUUAGAUAAGUCUAUAAUUUAAUUUCAGUGCUUAACGCUGUCUUGUUAUAGAAACUGUCUUGACUAGAGUGAGAUAGAGGCAAGCGGAAUUCCAUGUGUAGCGGUAAAAUGUGUAAAUAUAUGGAGGAACACCAGAAGCGUAGGCGGCUUGCUGGGUCUUUACUGACGCUGAGGCACGAAAGCGUGGGUAGCAAACAGGAUUAGAUACCCUGGUAGUCCACGCCGUAAACGAUGAGUACUAAGUGUCGGGGUAAAACUCGGUACUGAAGUUAACACAUUAAGUACUCCGCCUGAGUAGUACGUACGCAAGUAUGAAACUUAAAGGAAUUGACGGGACUCCGCACAAGCGGUGGAUCAUGUUGUUUAAUUCGAAGAUACACGAAAAAUCUUACCAGGUCUUGACAUACUCUGCAAAGCUAUAGAAAUAUAGUGGAGGUUAUCAGGGAUACAGGUGGUGCAUGGUUGUCGUCAGUUCGUGUCGUGAGAUGUUAGGUUAAGUCCUAAAACGAACGCAACCCUUGUCGUUAAUUGCCAGCACAUAAUGGUGGGGACUUUAACGAGACUGCCAAUUAAACAUUGGAGGAAGGUGAGGAUUACGUCAAAUCAUCAUGCCCCUUAUGAUCUGGGCUACAAACGUGAUACAAUGGCUGUGACAAAGAGUAGCUGAAACGCGAGUUUUUAGCCAAUCUCAAAAAAGCAGUCUCAGUUCGGAUUGAAGUCUGUAGCUAGACUUCAUGAAGUUGGUGUAACUAGUA